UCCGUCAUCACGCGAAUCGGAAGAGAAAUUCAACGACGGGGAAAUAUAGGGCUUAGUUAUACACACGCAGCCAGGGCCUGCAUACCUCCGAAAUCGCAUUGGUUGAUACGAAUCACGUGUCUGUGAAAAUACGUGACCCUAACCC